CCUGUCGUCAGCUCGUGUCGUGAGAUGUUGGGUUAAGUCCCGCAACGAGCGCAACCCUCAUCCUUAGUUACCAUCAGGUAAUGCUGGGGACUUUAAGGAAACUGCCAGUGAUAAACUGGAGGAAGGUGGGGAUGAUGUCAAGUCAUCAUGGCCCUUAUGGAGUGGGCUACACACGUGCUACAAUGGUGGCUACAAUGGGCUGCAAAGUCGCGAGGCUAAGCUAAUCCCUUAAAAGCCAUCUCAGUUCGGAUUGUACUCUGCAACUCGAGUGCAUGAAGUUGGAAUCGCUAGUAAUCGUGGAUCAGCACGCCACGGUGAAUACGUCUCGGG
rnacentral:rRNA from 1 species